UACGGGGGGGGCAAGCGUUGUUCGGAAUUACUGGGCGUAAAGGGCUCGUAGGCGGCCAACUAAGUCAGACGUGAAAUCCCUCGGCUUAACCGGGGAACUGCGUCUGAUACUGGAUGGCUUGAGAUUGGGAGAGGGAUGCGGAAUUCCAGGUGUAGCGGUGAAAUGCGUAGAUAUCUGGAGGAACACCGGUGGCGAAGGCGGCAUCCUGGACCAACACUGACGCUGAGGCGCGACAGCGUGGGGAGCGAACAGG
rnacentral:rRNA from 1 species